AUUGAACGCUAGCGGGAUGCCUUACACAUGCAAGUCGAACGGAGUGGCGAACGGGUGAGUAAUGUAUCGGAACGUGCCCAGUAGCGGGGGAUAACUACGCGAAAGCGUAGCUAAUACCGCAUACUAUUGGAGCGGCCGAUAGCGGAUUAGCUAGUUGGUGGGGUAACGGCUCACCAAGGCGACGAUCCGUAGCUGGUUUGAGAGGACGACCAGCCACACUGGGACUGAGGCACAGCCCAGACUCCGAAGGGAGGCAACAGUGGGGAAUUUUGGACAAUGGGGGAAACCCUGAUACAGCCAUCCCGCGUGAGCGAGGAGGGCCUUCGGAUUGUAAAGCUCUGUUGGCAGGAAAGCGGUACCUGCAGAAAAAGCACCGGCUAACUACGUGCCAGCAGCCGCGGUAAUAC
rnacentral:rRNA from 1 species